UUCGCCCUUAGAGUGUGAUUUUGGCUCAGGACGAACGCUGGCGGCGUGCCUAACACAUGCAAGUCGAGCGGAGGUAUAUACGAAGAAGUUUUCGGACGGAAUUGUAUAUACUUUAGCGGCGGACGGGUGAGUAACGCGUGAGCAACCUGCCUUUCACAGGGGGAUAAGGCGGCGAAAGCCGCUCUAAUACCGCAUGAGACCACGGUGAUGAUAUUACAGGGGUCAAAGGAGCAAUCCGGUGAAAGAUGGGCUCGCGUCCGAUUAGGUAGUUGGUGGGGUAAUGGCCCACCAAGCCCGUGAUCGGUAGCCGGCCUGAGAGGGUGAACGGCCACAUUGGAACUGAGACACGGUCCAAACUCCUACGGGAGGCAGCAGUGGGGAAUAUUGGGCAAUGGGGGGAACCCUGACCCAGCAACGCCGCGUGAGGGAAGAAGGUUUUCGGAUUGUAAACCUCUGUUCUUGGGGAAGAGUGAAAGACGGUACCCAAGGAGGAAGCCCCGGCUAACUACGUGCCAGCAGCCGCGGUAAUACGUAGGGGGCGAGCGUUGUCCGGAAUUAUUGGGCGUAAAGGGUUCGCAGGCGGUCUGAUAAGUCAGAUGUGAAAGACUAUGGCUCAACCAUGGCAAGCAUUUGAAACUGUUAGACUUGAGUUAAGGAGAGGAAAGCAGAAUUCCUAGUGUAGCGGUGAAAUGCGUAGAUAUUAGGAGGAACACCAGUGGCGAAGGCGACUUUCUGGACUUAUACUGACGCUGAGGAACGAAAGCGUGGGGAGCACACAAAAGUAGAUACCCUGGUAGUCCCGGCCCCAAAACGGUGCACCACUUGGCGUGGGGGGCUUCACCCCCCUCCGUCCCGGAGCUAACGUGUUAAGUGUGCCGCCUGGGGAGUACGGCCGCAAGGCUAAAACUCAAAGAAAUUGACGGGGGCCCGCACAAGCGGAGGAGCAUGUGGCUUAAUUCGAUGCAACGCGAAGAACCUUACCCGGGUUUGACAUGUAACUGCACAUCCUGUGAAAGCAGGAUUCCUUCGAGGGUGUUACACAGGUGCUGCAUGGCUGUCGUCAGUUCGUGCCGUGAGGUGUUUGGUUAAGUCCAGCAACGAACGCAACCCCUGUGUCCAAUUGCCAGCGAGUAAUGUCGGGAACUUUGGACAGACUGCCUGUUUACGCAGGAGGAAGGUGGGGACGACGUCAAGUCAGUAUGGCCCUUACAUCCGGGGCUGCACACGUGCUACAAUGGUCGGUAUAAUGGGACGCUAAGCCGCGAGGUGGCGCAAAUCCCCAGAGCCGGCCCCAGUUCAGAUUGCGGUCUGCAAUUCGACCGCAUGAAGUCGGAUUCGCCAGUAACGGCGUAUCAGCUACGACGCCGUGAAUAAAAGGCCCCGCCUUGCACACACCGCCCGUCA
rnacentral:rRNA from 1 species